rnacentral:rRNA from 1 species
AUUGAACGCUGGCGGCGUGCCUAACACAUGCAAGUCGAGCGGUAACAGGUGUAGCAAUACAUGCUGACGAGCGGCGAACGGGUGAGUAAUGCUUCGGAAUCUGCCCAUGUAGUGGGGAAUAACCAGCCGAAAGGUUGGCUAAUACCACAUACGACCCUUGCCCACAAGGCAAAGGUGAAAGCAGGGGAUCGCAAGACCUUGCGCUAUUGGAUGGGCCGAAGUCGGAUUAGCUAGUUGGUAGGGUAACGGCCUACCAAGGCGACGAUCCGUAGCUGGUCUGAGAGGACGGACCAGCCACACUGGGACUGAGACACGGCCCAGACUCCUACGGAGGCAGCAGUGGGGAAUAUUGGACAAUGGGGCAACCCUGAUCCAGCGACGCCGCGUGUGUGAAGAAGGCCUGCGGGUUGUAAAGCACUUUUAGUGGGGA